rnacentral:rRNA from 1 species
AAUGGGCGCAAGCCUGAUCCAGCCAUUCCGCGUGCAGGAUGAAGGCCUUCGGGUUGUAAACUGCUUUUGUACGGAACGAAACGGCGAGCUCUAAUACAGUUUGCUAAUGACGGUACCGUAAGAAUAAGCACCGGCUAACUACGUGCCAGCAGCCGCGGUAAUACGUAGGGUGCAAGCGUUAAUCGGAAUUACUGGGCGUAAAGCGUGCGCAGGCGGUUAUAUAAGACAGAUGUGAAAUCCCCGGGCUCAACCUGGGAACUGCAUUUGUGACUGUAUGGCUAGAGUACGGCAGAGGGGGAUGGAAUUCCGCGUGUAGCAGUGAAAUGCGUAGAUAUGCGGAGGAACACCGAUGGCGAAGGCAAUCCCCUGGGCCUGUACUGACGCUCAUGCACGAAAGCGUGGGGAGCAAA